rnacentral:pre_miRNA from 1 species
AAUUCUAGUACUGUUGAUGGAAUAGAAAGAAUUUAAUGUAUGUUGUUUCUAUUCCAUCAACAGUACAAGAAUU